GGAGAAGGGCCAUAGCUCAGCGGCAGAGAAUCUGCCCCACAUGCAGAAGGUCCUAGGUUCAAUCCCCAACGACGUCUCCA